GUGGCUGACAAGUAAAAAUUACACAAACGUCAGCAAAAUUUGAGUUUAUUUUUUAUAUCACGUUAAUUUUUCAAAGUUUUAUUAAGAUAGUGGUUCAAGGUGUCGUGUUUGGGUUAGACUAUUGCCUACUAUCGGUUAGAAACAACAUGAUCUCCAAAAAUAUAACGUAGUAAUGAGCUCCAGAAGGUUUUCGUAGAUAGGUGCGUUUUUCCCAAAAGUGAGUUUUUUGAGACCAAACCGCAACUGAGUCACACUGCGAGGAGACUCCCAUAGACAAAAGUUGCAAACAUAAGGUGCCAGUUUGGCUGAUUGCAAGUAUGUCUUUAUCAUCGAUUCGGUGACGACUAUUAGUUUUGUAAACUUAAUAGAUUUAAUAAAUAUCUUUAAUAUUAAAUGUGAUCGUGUCAUGUUGGGUAAAAUUCUUCCAUCUGUGCUGUCUGUGCGUCCACCUUUUCAAAUACAAUUAGAAAAUUUUCAUAAUAAUUGUAUUUGAUAAGGUUUUGACAUCAUUUUGACGUGAGCAAAAAUUUAAAAAAUACAAAGUAAUCGGGAUUAUUUUAAAUUCGCGCCAUUUUUAGUACGUGAUGAUGCGGCUAGAUGGCUUCAGCUAGGAAUUCAUUGCCAACCAUUAUGUUCCGCUUCUAUAAAAGUGUUAUUCUAGGGUUGUAACCCUCAAAGUCAACAAAAAUGGCGAUUCAAGUGAAAAGUGAGUGAAAAUAAAAAUUGUUUUUCUAAUGUUAUUUUCAAUUUGCACAAGAAAAUUCAUAGUGUACGGUCAUCAGGGCACUCACAGGAAUCGUUUGGCCUCUACAUCGCGUCUCCUUCCCUCAUUUUUGUGACGGUCCUUUUUAAGAAGGAAAAACUACCUGCUCCCAGAAGGGGGGCGUCACGAGCGGUUAAGGAUUGAGGGUUGCACAUUUAACAGGAAAGUGAAAGUUGUACAUUACAACAAUAGAAACAACUUACAGUACGAGUCAGCGUUAAGCAGACAUUUUCUCUGCGAUAUUUAAAAACCUUUACAAAAACACAAAUUCAGAUAAGCAAUUUUGCCUACCGUACAACACGUGUUACAACUUCCUAGUGAUAACAGUAUAAUAAAUAUAAUUAUUCUAGUUAUUAUGUAAUUACUGCCAUGUUUUGGACGCGAAAACAAUUACAAUAUAAAAACCAGUGGUCGUGGGUCAGGAUUCAGUUAUUUGAUUUACUUUAAUUUUAGACACAAUCGUUGAAAAUAAACAUAAUGUCAGACGAAUUACAUUUUACUUAUAACAUUUAAUAAAUAUCAAGACAAUCAAGACUUACCUGUUAAUCGAUGCACAACACGCUCACGACGCUCACACGCUGCUACAAGGUGUCAACUGUCAACCACAGAACAAGGGUUAGUUCAAACCGCUGCCAACGGUCGCACGCAAAAACCCUAACCCGGUCCCAAAUCCGGGGAAAUGAAAAUUUCCGGGAAAAACAACCGGAACUUGGCAACAAUAAAUCAAGUGACGUUUCGUACUUGUCUUUUUUUCCAAAACAAAUGUCAUAGUCACAAUGCGAGAAAAUAAGUGCUAAAGAUCGGUUCGUUUUCUCAUAACAUGGAAAAUCCUCUAACCAAAAGUGAGGAGAAGAAGUUCGGGUACCCCAAAGUACGAGAUUCGGACGUUAAAAAUGAAAAACCCAAAGUCGAAGUUAGGCGCUUGCAGUACGACCCUAACCCUAAGGUCGGGGACUGGAAAAGACGUGCUCGCCCAGCUGUUGCCCCUCGUUAUCGGGCGAAGAACGCCUGGGCGGCGUUGCCGGGUUGUGCCCUGGCGCACUUUCGGCAAGUUUAUCGAACAGCUGGUAGGAUUACGUAAUUUGCGAUAAUAUCCAACAAAUGUGCUUUGUUGUCCCGAUUAGGGAAAAAAAUCAGUGAU